rnacentral:lncRNA from 1 species
UGAUAUCUCUCAUCUAAACUCUUUUUAUGAAUUAAACUUGAAAGGCUCAAAGGAAAUUGACAGAAGAUGCUUUGAGUUCUAAGCUGUUUUCUCACUUGUUACUUUUUUAAAUGAAGCUAAGGAUAUGUAAUUUAUAUAAGGCCCUUAGCAGAAUAUAACUCUUGGAGGGAAUUUGAAAUUUGCUAGCCAAUUUUCAAAUUGAAAUCACAUUUCAAGAGUCAGAAUUGUUGCUAUCCAAAUUUUCAAAAGUUGCAACUACAUUUCAAAUCAGAAAUUCUUUUUACACCAAUUUUCAAGUUGGCAACACAUUUUCGAAGUCAGAAAUUGUUGCUUAGCAUAUUUUCAAUUUGGAAUCAAAUUUUCAAAGUCAGAAAUUGUUUCUAUCCAACUUUUUCAAAGUUGCAACUACAUUUUCAAAGUCCGAAAUCUUCUACCAAUUUUUCAAAGUUGCAACCACAUUUUCAAAGUCAGAACUUGUUUGGUGCUAAUCCAAAUUUUCAAAAUUGGAAUCAAAUUUUCAAGUCCAGAAAUUGUUGCUAGCAUAUUUUCAAAAUUGCAUCACAAUUUUCAAAGUCACAAAUUAUUCUAGGUCUAAUUUUUCAAACUUGAAUCAAUUUUCAAAAUCAAAAUAUUUCUAGCUCAUUUUUCAAAAUUGUAUUAAAUGUUCAAAGAUAAAAUUAUUGCUAGCACACAUUUUUAAGAACUUUAAAUUUUAAUAUGCAUUUUUGUAUUUUUAAAAUGCAAGGAAGGAUCUAAGGGCAUUUUAGAGGCCUCAAGAAUUUAACCAUACAAAGCUUUACAAAAAUAACCCUAAUGAACGUUCUUUCAUUUUUGAGAUCUUCCAUUGCUGUGAAGUCUUCUUGCUUGCGUCCAAAUAUCUUCUCGAUUAUUUUUGCAUCCUUGAGAUUGUGCUUGAAUAUUUCUUGCACUAUCAUACUUGAAUUAAAUACAUUAGAGCAAUAAAUAUAGAAUUUGUUAUCAUCAAAAUUAUUUACAACAUAAUCGGCUUUGACGCCAUAUAGGGCUAACAAUCUCCCCCUUUUUGAUGAUGACAAAUUAUGAAUAUCAAAAUUUUAAGCACAUUGUAGUAAUAAACUAUUACUGAUCAAACCAUAUGUAGAAUCAUCUUGAGAAAUGCAUUUUUAUUAUUAAGAAGAAGGGAGAUGUAAGCAAUGAAGGAAAUUGAAAAAUAAAGAAAAAAGAGAAAAUAAGAGGCAAGAAGGAAAAGUAGAAAACGAAAUAUAGAAGAAACAGCGUGGUGCUAACAUAGAUCGUCUCCUUUUCUUGGGGAAUAACAAAAUUUUUUGUAGAUCUUAUUUCUCCCCCUUUUGCAUCAACAAAAAGGCAUAAGGAGAAGCUCCCCUGCGAAGAUGCUCCCCCUUUUAUGAUGAAGUAAUCUACGAUAAAUAUAUUGAAAGCUUCUAAAUAUGAAUAUUAAAUCCAAGAAUGUGAGGCAAGCAAUCAGAAAAUAUGAGUUUGACCCCAUAUCAGUUGUGGCUUUCUCUCUCUUCUGUCAUAGUUAUUAUCAUGGGAACGAUCUAUGAUGGCAAGAAAAAGAUACUUCAUCUUAAAAGCAUGAAUCAAGAUAAUCUUGCUUCUAGAUGACAUGUCAAGAUAGUCUGCUUCUGUUAUUUUUGUGAUCGUUGUGAUGUUGCAUCUUUCUGCUUUUAGAAUGAGACUGUAUGAAUAGGUUGCAAUGCUACAUCUUUCUUCUUAAGACGUGAAGAUAGGCUGAAACUAGAAGAAAGAUUAGCUUUCAAAGAGAUGAAGCAUUGAGAACAGAAUAUUGCUUGGUAAGAGAGAAGCAAGUGAAUUUAUCGAUGAGAUUUGACAGAGAAAGGUGUGAGUGACGCAUGUGAUGACGCAUGUGAUCUGACUUACCAAAAAAAAAUAAAUAAAAAUAAAAAAUCGCAAUUUAAAAAGAUUUAUUGUGUCGUGGUAGGUGCGCUGUGCUCAGAAGGACGACUUGAGGCCAUAUUUUGUUCUGAAAAACUCUUUUCCUAUUCUCCAAAAUCGUUCUCUUCUUCUUUCUCUUCCGUUUCUUUGAAGAAAAAUUUCAGUUUCGUUCUUAGUUUUCAAAAAUGGCUUCUUCUUCUCAAAAUAAUUUGAUCUAAAUGAUGGUGCCUAAUGUACAACCAGAAUUCGGUGUUCACAUCUUCUUAUCUCAAAAAGAUCCCCAUGAGUAAUGCUCUAUGAUCUGGAUGAUGCAGUUGCUGCAUCAGUAGCUAAGGGAUCAUUACUCCCAAGAUGGAAAGUUAUUGGCGGAUAGACUGAUGUGAAGCAUUAAUGACUCUAUGGCACUCAGUAUUCGUGUGCUUCUUCCUGUUUCAAUAUGGCUCGCGUCUGGCAGUUCGAGGGAUGAAUUUUCAAGAGCUAAGGACUCAAGUUUUGAGUUUGCAACGAAGGAAUAGAAGCCUCCAGCAAGAGAAUAAAGAGCUGAAGAAACUUGUAGAUUCAUAUGCGAGUGAUAUGAGAAAGAGAUUUCAGAAUUAGAGAUGAACACAAAACCUUAUUCGGGAGGCAACAUGAAGUCUCUUGUAGAAAGUCUUCAGAUUUCCACCCACAGCUUAAACAAGGUAUUUUAUUCAGAAAGUAACUUAUUUAUAAAAGUAAAUAAAUAACUGAAGUAUUAUGCAAUAUCUGUAGUCUACACAUACCAAGUUCUCUCGCUGAAUGGUGCAGAAACGGUCCUCUGAAGUGGUUUUGGGGGAAGAUGUCAGCCUUUUGAAAAUCAAGUACUUAUAAACUCUAGUUCUACACUCCUUUUUGAACAUGUGGUCCCGAAUAAAAUGAUGUCCUAAUUUCAAUAUGUUUUGUUCGUGAGUGAAGAAUAGGAUUUUUUGAAAUAUUUAAGCACUCGUAUUUCGGCAUCUAUGGGUAUUGAUCAAAUUUUAAUUUCAAUCUUCAAGUUGUUGCUUCAAUAAAGAACUUGAGCACAACAACUCCUGCGGCAAUAUAAUUCCUGCUUCAGCACGUGGAGAGAGCAACUGAAUUUUAUUUCUUAUACUAAACGCAAAAACAGUGGUGUCCUAGAAAGUGACACGUACCACUUGUACUUUUAGGCUCAAUUGCACACCCUAUACAAAAUCUGCAUCUGACUAAACCUUACUAAAUCCAAUGAAUGUGAAUUUUAGGAUACCAUAAACCUAGAUCUAUUGUGCCAAGUAAAUAUGAAAAAGUUUUAACGGCAAUUAAUGUGUUCUUUUGGACAUGAUUGAAUCUAGCACAUAAGCAAACACUAAACAUGAUAUCUGGCCUACUGGCCGUUAAAUAUAGUAACACCAAUCAUUCCUCUAUAUUGUUUAAUGUCACCAUUUUUUCCCAUUUUCAUCUUUAUCCAAGUUUGGUGUUGAAUCAUUGGGGUUGCAUAGAUUUUUGAAUUUUUCUAUCCCAAUUUCUUGAGAAAUCUUUUAUAAUAUUUAGAUUGGUUGAUAAAGAUUCCAUUUUAGUUUGCUUAAUUGAGACCAAGAAGAAAUUUAGUUUCACCCAUCAUGCUCAUUUCACCAAAUUCUUUUUGGCUAAUUUUGGAAAAUCACUACACAUGUUUCUCAUUUGUUGAUCCAAAAUAAUAUCAUCAACAUAUAUUUGCACAUGAGUAAAUCAACAUUUUUGAAUUUGGUAAACAAAGUAUGUCAAUUUUUUUUUCCUCUUUGUAAACCCUUUUCCAAGAAAUCCACUAGGGCCUUUCAUGACCAUUGCUCUUGGGGCUUGUUUUCAAGCCUACAAGGCUUUUGGCAUUUUGAAAAACAUGGUUUGGAAAUUCGUGAUUUUCAAAACCGGUGUUUGUUCAACAUAAAUUCUUCAGAAAUGAGACCAUUUAAAAAUGCACUUUUGACAAUCCAUUUGAAAUAAUUUAAAAUCUUUAUAGGAAGCAAAAAGCUAAUAGCAUUCUAUAGCUUCAAUCAAGUCGAGCUACUGGGGCAAAGGUUUCUUCAUAGUCAAUACCUUCUUCUUGGUUGUAGCCUUGGGCUACUAAUCUAGCUUUAUUUCUAAUAUAAUGCAAUUUUCAUCAUCCUUUUAUAUUACGAAAAUCCAUUGUGUUCCAAUAAUUGAUGCUGUGUGGGUUCUAGGUGACUAAUGUCCAACAUGUUCCUUUCAUUGGUUAAGUUCUUUUCCAUGCCAUUACCCAAAACUCAUCAGUUUCAGCUUCUUCAUAUUUUUAGGCGUUCAUUUCUGAAACAAAAGCCAUGUAUUCAACAUAUUUCUAAGUGAAGACCGUGGUGUUACACCUUGUGAGGGUCAUCCCUAGAUUUGAGUCGAUGGGGUGAUUUUUAACAAUUUCUCCAAAUUAGGAAAUUGUGUUUCUUGUUCAGAUGAGAUGCUUUUUCAUGCUCCUCUCUUCUUGGUUAGACUCUUGAGAGAUUUUGAUCUUUUUUUGAUAUAUUAUCAUUAUUUUCUGUACAUAAUGUCAUCAUCAUCAUCAUCAUUAAUUUCUUAUAGGCUUGAAGAAUCAACUUCAUCAAAUGCAACAUGUACUAGACUCUUCAAUAUUUAAAGUUCUUUUGUUAUAAGACUCUAUAAAAGCUUUGCUAUUUGUAGAAUAUCCAAGAAAUAUGCCUUUAUCGAUUUAGCAUCAACCUUACCCAAAUUAUCUUUGUCAUUAUAGAAUAAAGCAUUUUGCAACCAAAUACUUUGAAAUAACAUAUUGGGUGUUCUUUCCUUCCAAGUUCGUAAGGAGUCCUUUAUUCAAGUUUUGAUCUAAUAACUACAACGAUUUAAUAUAUAACAGCUGUAUUUACACUUCAGCCCCAAAAAAAAAAUACUUUGGUAAAUUAUGUUCAUAUAACAUAGUUCUAAGCCAUUUCUUGAAGAGAUCUAUUUUUAAUUACGUCACAACAUCCAUUUUGUUGAGGUGUUCUAGGUGUCAGAGAAGUUUGUGUAAAUCCAUAAUCAUCACAAUAUUUUUUCAUAUCUUGAUUAUCAAAUUCUCUUCCUCUAUCACUACGAAUAUUGGUGAUAGUGGCAACCUAUUUCAUUUUGUGUCUUUCUUACAACAGAAU